rnacentral:rRNA from 1 species
GCACGUAGGGGGCAAGCGUUGUUCGGAAUUAUUGGGCGUAAAGGGCAUGUAGGCGGUUUCGUAAGCCUGGUGUGAAAUCCUGCAGCUUAACUGCAGAAUUGCAUUGGGUACUGCGAGACUUGAAUCACAGAGGGGAAACUAGAAUUCCAGGUGUAGGGGUGGAAUCUGUAGAUAUCUGGAAGAAUAUCGGUGGCGAAGGCGGGUUUCUAGCUGAUGAUUGACGCUGAGGUGCGAAAGUGCGGGGAGCAAACAGGAUUAGAUACCCUGGUAGUCCGCACCGUAAACUAUGUACACUAGGUGUAGGGGCAUGAGUCUCUGUGCCGAAGCUAACGUGAUAAGUGUACCGCCUGGGAAGUAUGCCCGCAAGGGUGAA